rnacentral:rRNA from 1 species
UACGGAGGGUGCAAGCGUUAAUCGGAAUUACUGGGCGUAAAGCGCACGCAGGCGGUUUGUUAAGUCAGAUGUGAAAUCCCCGAGCUUAACUUGGGAACUGCAUUUGAAACUGGCAAGCUAGAGUCUUGUAGAGGGGGGUAGAAUUCCAGGUGUAGUGGUGAAAUGCGUAGAGAUCUGGAGGAAUACCGGUGGCGAAGGCGGCCCCCUGGACAAAGACUGACGCUCAGGUGCGAAAGCGUGGGGAGCAAACAGG